rfam:Schistosoma mansoni strain Puerto Rico chromosome 6, complete genome
AGCCUUCUGUAUCCGUGCUGAGAUUUCGUCACACACCAGACCAGAAGGGCUGAUGAGACUCCCAACAAUAACACAGAUU